rnacentral:rRNA from 1 species
GCGAGCGGCGGAUGGGUGAGUAACACGUGGGGAACCUGCCCCUAAGUCUGGGAUACCAUUUGGAAACAGGUGCUAAUACCGGAUAAUAAAGCAGAUCGCAUGAUCAGCUUUUGAAAGGCGGCGUAAGCUGUCGCUAAGGGAUGGCCCCGCGGUGCAUUAGCUAGUUGGUAAGGUAACGGCUUACCAAGGCGACGAUGCAUAGCCGAGUUGAGAGACUGAUCGGCCACAUUGGGACUGAGACACGGCCCAAACUCCUACGGGAGGCAGCAGUAGGGAAUCUUCCACAAUGGACGCAAGUCUGAUGGAGCAACGCCGCGUGAGUGAAGAAGGUUUUCGGAUCGUAAAGCUCUGUUGUUGGUGAAGAAGGAUAGAGGUAGUAACUGGCCUUUAUUUGACGGUAAUCAACCAGAAAGUCACGGCUAACUACGUGCCAGCAGCCGCGGUAAUACGUAGGUGGCAAGCGUUGUCCGGAUUUAUUGGGCGUAAAGCGAGCGCAGGCGGAAAAAUAAGUCUAAUGUGAAAGCCCUCGGCUUAACCGAGGAACUGCAUCGGAAACUGUUUUUCUUGAGUGCAGAAGAGGAGAGUGGAACUCCAUGUGUAGCGGUGGAAUGCGUAGAUAUAUGGAAGAACACCAGUGGCGAAGGCGGCUCUCUGGUCUGCAACUGACGCUGAGGCUCGAAAGCAUGGGUAGCGAACAGGAUUAGAUACCCUGGUAGUCCAUGCCGUAAACGAUGAGUGCUAAGUGUUGGGAGGUUUCCGCCUCUCAGUGCUGCAGCUAACGCAUUAAGCACUCCGCCUGGGGGAGUACGACCGCAAGGUUGAAACUCAAAGGAAUUGACGGGGGGCCCGCACAAGCGGUGGA